CGCCAAAGAAACAGGAGCAACCGAAGAGGAAAUCAAAGAAUUAAAAACUAAAGUACCUUUGGAAUCCAAAGGAGCAAAAUGUUUUGGAGCUUGCUUGUAUAGGAACUUUGGAGUGUUCAAAGACGGAAAAUACAACCCUGAAGCUUUGGUGGCAGCCAGCAAAAUGUUCUACGAUGAAACUACUCCUCAACACGAAAAGAUCAAGGAAAUCGCUCAAGAAUGUGCAAAAGAAGUCGUGGAUGCUGAUGAAUGCGAAUUGGCUGCCAAAGCAGUUGCUUGUGAAAGUCCCAAAUUUAAAGAAAAUAACAUCGACAUUCCACUUUAAAAAAUUAUUU